GACGAACCGUCCAAACGUUAUUCGGAAUCACUGGGCUUACAGAGUUCGUAGGCGGUCUGGAAAGUUGGGUGUGAAAUCCCUCGGCCUAACCGAGGAACUGCGCUUGAAACUACCAGACUCGAGGGAGAUAGAGGAAAGCGGAACUGAUGGUGGAGCGGUGAAAUGCGUUGAUAUCAUCAGGAACACCGGUGGCGAAGGCGGCUUUCUGGGUCUUACCUGACGCUGAGGAACGAAAGCCAGGGGAGCAAACGGG
rnacentral:rRNA from 1 species